UAUUUAAAAAUAAUAAAAUAUAUCAAUUAUUUAUAUAGCUUUACAUUGUAUUAGGUAUUAUAAAUAAUCUACAGAUGAUUUAAAGCAGGGAUGUCCAAUCUUUUGGCUUCCCUGGGCCACUUUGGAAGAAGAAUUGUCUUGGGCCACACAUAAAAUACACUAAUUAUAGCUGUUGAGGUAAAAAUAAAAAUCACAAAAAAAAACCUCAAUGUUUUAAGAAAGUUUAUGAAUUUUUGUUGGGCUGUAUUCAAAGCCAUCCUGGGCCACAGGUUGGACAUUCUUGAUUUAAAAUAUACAGGAGGGGCUGAGGCAGUGCCUCAUGCCUGUAAUCCCAGCACUUUGGGAGGCCCAGGCGGGCAGAUCAUUUGAGGCCAGGAGUUCAAGACCACCCUGGCCAACAUGGCGAAACCCGUCGCUACUAAAAAUACAAAAAUUAGCUGGGUAUGGUGGUGCACACUUAUAAUCUCAGCUACUAAGGUGGCUGAGGCAGGAGAAUCACUUGAACCUGGGAGGCGGAGGUUACAGUGAGCUGAGAUAGUGCCAGUACACUCCAGACUGGGCGACAGAGUGAGACUUUGUCUCAAUAAAUAAAUAAAUAAAUAGUAUACAGAAGGAUGUGCAUAGGUUAUGUGCAAAUACUAUGCCGUUUUGUAUUAGGUACUUGAGCAUCCCCAGAUUUUGGUAUCUAUGGGAAUCCUGGAACCAAUCCCCCACUGGUGCUGAGGGAUCAGACUGUACAUCUGAUUGCCCAGUGUCUCCACCAUGCCAUUGGAGUCUGUUCCUCCAGUUACAGUUGAGAAACAAGUGAGUCUCGUGGAAAGGGACAAAAACCUGAAUGAGAUGCCUCUACCCAGGGAGGGACUGAAAUUGAUCACAAAGUGUCUCCUCCAAGAAGCUGGAAGCUUGUUAGAACUAUUCAUGAAAAAUAAUUCUAUGAGUGUUUUCCUUUAAGUUCCAAAGACAACCUGGAAGGGAAAAGGGACCCUUCGAGAAAGUUCCAGGAAAAAAACCACUCCCAAAAAGACUACCACUUCAAGAAAACCCGAGGAAGGGAAUGGGCCAGCACUAUCCAGCCACUAUGACCAGCUGAAUAGGAAACUCACUCAAAAUGAGCCAUAGCAGGACCAAGUUAGCCAGGAGACCUCCACAAUCUCCAGCGUCUCCCUGGACAGCCAGUAAUUUCAAGGCAAGUUCAGAGGCCUAGAUCUAUCUGAGAGGUCUCCAGAGAUCUGACCCCAGAGAACUAGCUAGCAGGGUCUAGGAUACAUUCUAUACCCCACAGGGUACGCCCCAUGGUGAUGAAAAUAAAAUGAAUCUGUUGUAAAAUGAUGUGAGUGUCUUCAUGUUCUAGGAUGGUGGGGAGGGAGGAAGGAGGGAAGAGGUGGUGUGU
rnacentral:lncRNA from 1 species